GGCUCAGUGGUGGGUACCAUCCCUGCUAUCAAUUGAAUGUUUACAAGUGCCAGCAGAGAGUGCUCGUUCGACUCGAGCCUGAGCCA